rnacentral:rRNA from 1 species
UACAGAGGUCUCAAGCGUUGUUCGGAUUCAUUGGGCGUAAAGGGUGUGUAGGUGGCGCCGUAAGUCGGGUGUGAAAUUUCGGAGCUUAACUCCGAAACUGCAUUCGAUACUGCGGUGCUUGAGGACUGGAGAGGAGAGUGGAAUUCCUGGUGUAGCGGUGAAAUGCGCAGAUAUCAGGAAGAACACCCGUGGCUAAGGCGGCUCUCUAGUACGGUACUGACGCUGAGACGCGAAAGCGUGGGGGAGCGAACAGG